rnacentral:rRNA from 1 species
GACGAACGCUGGCGGCGUGCUUAACACAUGCAAGUCACGGGGGGGUCGCAAGACUCAACCGGCGAACGGGUGCGUAACACGUGAGCAACCUGCCGAUCUGAGGGGGAUAGCCGGCCCAACGGGCCGGGUAAUACCGCAUACGGUUUCUACGGGACAUCCUGUGGGAACGAAACCUCCGGGGCAGAUCGGAGGGGCUCGCGGCCUAUCAGCUAGUUGGUGUGGGUAACGGCCCACCAAGGCGACGACGGGUAGCUGGCUGAGAGGAUGCCAGCCACAUUGGGACUGAGAGACGGCCCAGACUCCUACGGGAGGCAGCAGUGGGGAAUCUUGCGCAAUGGCCGAAAGGACUGACGCAGCGACGCCGCGUGUGGGAUGAAG